rnacentral:rRNA from 1 species
CCUACGGGUGGCAGCAGUGGGGAAUAUUGGGCCAUGGGCGCAAGCCUGACCCAGCACCGCCGCGUGAAUGAAGAAGGCUUUCGGGUUGUCAACUUCUUUUCUCAGGGACGAAGAAAGUGACGGUACCUGAGGAAUAAGCCACGGCUAACUACGUGCCAGCAGCCGCGGUAAUACGGAGGCUGCGAGCGUUAUCCGGAUUUAUUGGGUUUACAGGGUGCGUAGGCGGACCGUUAAGUCAGUGGUCAAAUUGAGGGGCUCAACCCCUUACCGCCAUUGACACUGGCGCUCUGGAGUGGACGAGAGGGAUGCGGAAUGCGUGGUGUAGCGGUGAAAUGCAUAGAUAUCACGCAGAACCCCGAUUGCGAAGGCAGCAUGCCGGCUUCCUACUGACGCUGAAGCACGAAAGCGUGGGGAUCGAACAGGAUUAGAUACCCUAGUAGUC